rnacentral:rRNA from 1 species
AGAGUUUGAUCCUGGCUCAGGACGAACGCUGGCGGCGCGCCUAACACAUGCAAGUCGAACGGAGCUGUUUUCUCUGAAGUUUUCGGAUGGAAGAGAGUUCAGCUUAGUGGCGAACGGGUGAGUAACACGUGAGCAACCUGCCUUUCAGUGGGGGACAACAUUUGGAAACGAAUGCUAAUACCGCAUAAGACCACAGUGUCGCAUGGCACAGGGGUCAAAGGAUUUAUCCGCUGAAAGAUGGGCUCGCGUCCGAUUAGCUAGAUGGUGAGGUAACGGCCCACCAUGGCGACGAUCGGUAGCCGGACUGAGAGGUUGAACGGCCACAUUGGGACUGAGACACGGCCCAGACUCCUACGGGAGGCAGCAGUGGGGAAUAUUGCACAAUGGGGGAAACCCUGAUGCAGCGACGCCGCGUGGAGGAAGAAGGUCUUCGGAUUGUAAACUCCUGUCCCAGGGGACGAUAAUGACGGUACCCUGGGAGGAAGCACCGGCUAACUACGUGCCAGCAGCCGCGGUAAAACGUAGGGUGCAAGCGUUGUCCGGAAUUACUGGGUGUAAAGGGAGCGCAGGCGGAUUGGCAAGUUGGGAGUGAAAUCUAUGGGCUCAACCCAUAAAUUGCUUUCAAAACUGUCAGUCUUGAGUGGUGUAGAGGUAGGCGGAAUUCCCGGUGUAGCGGUGGAAUGCGUAGAUAUCGGGAGGAACACCAGUGGCGAAGGCGGCCUACUGGGCACCAACUGACGCUGAGGCUCGAAAGCAUGGGUAGCAAACAGGAUUAGAUACCCUGGUAGUCCAUGCCGUAAACGAUGAUUACUAGGUGU